AUUGAACGCUGGCGGCAUGCCUUACACAUGCAAGUCGAACGGCAGCACGGGUGCUUGCACCUGGUGGUGAGUGGCGAACGGGUGAGUAAUACAUCGGAACGUACCUUAUCGUGGGGGAUAACGCAGCGAAAGCUGUGCUAAUACCGCAUACGCCCUGAGGGGGAAAGCGGGGGAUCGAAAGACCUCGCGCGAUUAGAGCGGCCGAUGCCUGAUUAGCUUGUUGGUGGGGUAAAAGCCCACCAAGGCGACGAUCAGUAGCUGGUCUGAGAGGACGAUCAGCCCCACUGGGACUGGGACACGGCCCAGACUCCUACGGGAGGCAGCAGUGGGGAAUUUUGGACAAUGGGGGCAACCCUGAUCCAGCAAUGCCGCGUGAGUGAAGAAGGCCUUCGGGUUGUAAAGCUCUUUUGUCAGGGAAGAAACACCGGCUCUAACACAGUCCGGGAAUGACGGUACCUGAAGAAUAAGCACCGGCUAACUACGUGCCAGCCGCCGCCGUAA
rnacentral:rRNA from 1 species